GGCCGGUUAGCUCAAUCAGUAGAACGUAGCGCUAACAACGCUAAGGUCGCGGGUUCAAUUCCCGUUCGGUCC
rfam:Apaloderma vittatum contig91177, whole genome shotgun sequence.